rnacentral:lncRNA from 1 species
AGAGAAUUAAAAAAGGAAAGAAACCAUUGUCAAGUUGGUAACCAUUAACACAGGGUCGGGCGAGACAGGCUUCAACAAAGUAGCUCUUUGUGGCUGUAAAAUACUAUUAUGGACCAAGUCCACCACAAACCACAGGAACAUCUAACUUAGAGGCCCUUGGAAGGAUUGAAACACAAACCCUGAACUUUGGUGUCCUCCAACAGGCAGUGGCUGUGGGCUACUAGGAACAUCCGUCUGACCCUUGGAAAGCCUGAAGGAGGUGCCUCCUUGCUCUCCAGCUUGGGCCUUGGCACUCGACUCUGUAGUCAGGGUCCCGGGUGUCCAGGAUAAGGCAAAACUACUGGAAAGAUGUGAAGACAGUAGAAUCAAGCUUCUCUCAAUUAUUCCAAUACAGAAGCUCUGUGGCUCCCUGAUUCUCCAUGAUGCCUUGUGAGGCUGGAGUGUGAUGUGGGACCACUGAGGAGCCAAACAGCACUAAACAGGGGAAGAGGUUGAAGGGGGAAUCAGAAGUUUCCCCCACUGCAACUUUGGUGCAGAAGCACAUUGGGUAAGAGUCAAAAAUCUGACAGGGCUUGGAAAACCUCAGAACCAGGGUUCCACAUCUCCUGCAGCUGCCAGACUUUUGUUCAAGGAAAAUUAUUUUCCUCUCAAAUAUGUGCUUACAAUCCCACAAGCUGCCUUGCACAUGGGCUGUAGCAAUGGCCCAAGCAGCCUCUGGCUCAACCCCCACCUGCCUGAGCACCCUCUGGGUAAACUGCCAAAAGUCUGGCCUAAAGAAGCCAGCUACUUCAUUGUCAACAGAUUGUCACUCUCCAAAACAUCUAGAGCUGGAGCGAAUUUGCUGAGUUUCAAUGCCAUGAAUGUCUGCUCACAGGCACUAGAGUCUGUUCAGAGUCAUCAGCCUUUAAAUCCUGGAGGGCAGUGAUAUAUUACCUCGCACAACCUCUGGGUUUACAGAAUGGACAAGGAGAUGCUCAGGAUCUCACAACAAGUUAGUAGCUGUGUCCAGAUUUAAACCUAAGAUUCCAACAUCCCAUUCCUUAUUCUUUCCAACAGAACAUUUAACACAAAUGUGCACGUGGUUUAAUGAGAAACAAAAGUAACAGUUGACAGCCCCAGUUGCCAAAGCACUGUGAACUCUCCAAAUCAUUUUCAUGGCACCUAUAUGGUGGCCCAGUUCUUGCUAACAACCUUACAUAGUAGAUGGAGCAGGGAUGAGCCACACUUCAGAGGAGGCAGAUGUGGACUGCCAAGAAUGUCAAAGCCUUAGCCCCAGCACACAUGCUGUUCAUAGCAUGUCCAUGCUUUGAACCAGGUCUCCUGGCCUCACCCAGCAUGCUCCCCACUCUGCAGCUCAGCUUCCCUAUUGGCAAGUUUCUGUCCCCCAGGUCUUGAUUUGCUCUUUUGCUAACAAGAGGGAGAGAGGAUAAAAACAAAAACAAAAUGAAAGAGUGACAGUGUCUCCAAAAGCAGCCAUAAAUCUCCUAACCAGGGCUUGGAGGCACAGUGAGAGUCCCCCAGCACAAGGCGUGUGAUUCUUGUGUCCCAACUCUUCACCCGGAAAUAUCUAGAGUCCUUUACCCAACGUUUGUGGAGUGCUCACAGUGUGCUAGGUGCUGCAGGGUGUUUGGGGAAGCACAAGGCAAGGGCUCUAUCCUACAGGAAGGGAAAGAGAACCGAGGAAGAGGUGUUAGAGUUGUUGCCCAUGAUGUUAAGCACCUUGUAUUAUCUCAUUUAACUGUUACAACUGCAUUCUAAGGUAUGUAUUUUUGUCCCCCUUUUAAGACAUCUGACGCUCAGGGAGAUUAGACAACACCUGAAGUCAUAAAACUAUUAAGUGGCCAAACUAGAAUUCGAGUCUAGGUCUGUCUGAAUUCGAGACCUUUCCAGCACUGGGUCUGGUACAUAGUAGAUGCUCAAUAAAUGUGUUGAGUAAAUGAAUGGGCAGGGUGAGGUUUGACCAGGCAGAGGAGAGAACCAUAAAUUGGAGGUACAGUGGAUAAGCCACCCUAUCUUAGUGAUAAGCCACUAUCACUAAGAUAGUGGCUUACACUGUAGAAAAAGAUGCUGAGGUCCCAGGAAGAAUGUGCUGGUGAUUUAUCACAGCUACCCAGAGAAGACCAGCCUUCCUAGCUAGGGAGGAUGCUGCUGGGGAAGGUGCUUGCUUUUCUCUGCUCCAGGCCUGUCCUCUCCAUCCACCAAGCAAGGCACCACACUCAUUUUUAUGCUCAUUACUCAUUUGGGGAGGCAGCUGCCUGUCCUGUCCACACCUCCUUCCCUCCCCCGAGGCGAGAAUCACACUCAGGCCCCUGCUGUUCCCACCUCCAAGGGGCAGGCCCUGUCCCUGCUGCCCAUGCCUGUCUUUACUUCCACAGAUGGCGUCAGAAUCAGCAACCCUAGAAGAGGAGCCCAAGAGGCCCUGGUCCCACCCUCCGAAGUAGUUUGACGCUCUGAGUUGGGCGCCGACAGCUGGUUUAGCUGAGACACAUCUCCAAACCGCGGGCUACAGCUGCCGCAGUGUGAACUGUCUCUGAGCCUCCUCUUGGGGCAGCCACGGCCUGACACUGUGGUUCCUAAUGGCUGACAGAUUAUCCUGUGUGCUUGGAGGAGUCACAGGAGGAUUAUAACUGUCUGCCCCAUCCUAUUACCCCUCCAGCUGCCUCUCCCUCUGGAGUCCCUCUCUAGUAUGUAAGAAUGUUAUCAGCACAGCUACAUUAAAAAAUUUGUAAAUGACAUUUUUCAAAGCUUGAGCAUGACUGGUGUGUGUGUGUGUGUGUGUGUGUGUGUGUGUGUGUGUGACUCUAAGCCAUGAAUAUAUCAAAGAUACCUCUGCUGCCUCCCUCGAUGGGUUUUUGGGGGCGCGAGAGAGGGUUGAAGGAAUGAAUGAAAGCCCUUUAGAGUCCUGUCCACCUCUUGGUCUUGGCCAUUGUGAGCAUUUUCUUUCUCAAAAUCGCCUAUCCCCGAUUCCCCAGCAUGAAGGGAAUGUGUGGUCCGAGAGCCUGCGCUAGGAAAGCACAUCUGGAGGCCAGCCCUUCCCCGGCAGCUUUGCCCAUUCUGCUACUGGCAGGGAGCACAGCUGGGCCAGCUGGCAGCAGUGCAUGCACCUCCUGUCCCACACACCCCACAUGCUGCUCUUCCUGCCCUUGCACCUCCCUCCUUAGCCCAUGCCUCCCUGUGCUGGAUGUGUCAGGAGUGUCCAAGUAGCAGAAGCCAUCUCUGGCUCAAGAGCACCAUUAGACCUGCCAGGUCUGGCUGAGCCUCAUGUGUAUUCGCUACAGCCUUCCCUCUGGAUGCCACUGUCUCCAGCAAAGGUUUCGGCCAAUUGAUUUCCAGGUUGGUCUCACUUGGGGAUUACAUCCGGCUGGGCUGCCAACCAGAGCCCUGACAGCUGGAGCAGGACUCUUGUCUACAAGGAGUGGGCCCACACCCCUCGAGGUUGAUGAUACCCUCUCUCCAUCCUCACACACAUCCCUGCAUCAUUAGAGCUGAACUCUUUAGGAAGGGCCUGGACCCUCCCAGAGUUGUAACCUGGGUCUCUCAGGAGGAAUGAGAUAGUGAAGCAGAUUGUCACCAUUUGGGAGCCAUUUUCCUCCCCAGAGACAAGGGAGUCCACUAGGAGUACUGUCAGUACUGUCCCAGGCCUCCCCCUGCCAUGCCAUGUUGCCUGUUGUCCUACAGCAUGACACAGCACUCUGAGUUUGAAGGCAGGGAUCUGUCUUCACUUACAACUGUGAGAUGUGAAAUCAGUUUGUACCUCCUCU